GCGCCUGUAGCUCAGUCGAUAGAGCGUCCGUUUCCUAAGCGGAAGGCCGUAGGUUCGACCCCUACCUGGCGCG
rnacentral:tRNA from 1 species